GUUUGAUCCUGGCUCAGAUUGAACGCUGGCGGCAGGCCUAACACAUGCAAGUCGAGCGGUAGCACAGAGAGCUUGCUCUCGGGUGACGAGCGGCGGACGGGUGAGUAAUGUCUGGGAAACUGCCUGAUGGAGGGGGAUAACUACUGGAAACGGUAGCUAAUACCGCAUAACGUCGCAAGACCAAAGUGGGGGACCUUCGGGCCUCAUGCCAUCAGAUGUGCCCAGAUGGGAUUAGCUAGUAGGUGGGGUAAUGGCUCACCUAGGCGACGAUCCCUAGCUGGUCUGAGAGGAUGACCAGCCACACUGGAACUGAGACACGGUCCAGACUCCUACGGGAGGCAGCAGUGGGGAAUAUUGCACAAUGGGCGCAAGCCUGAUGCAGCCAUGCCGCGUGUAUGAAGAAGGCCUUCGGGUUGUAAAGUACUUUCAGCGAGGAGGAAGGCAUUAAGGUUAAUAACCUUGGUGAUUGACGUUACUCGCAGAAGAAGCACCGGCUAACUCCGUGCCAGCAGCCGCGGUAAUACGGAGGGUGCAAGCGUUAAUCGGAAUUACUGGGCGUAAAGCGCACGCAGGCGGUCUGUCAAGUCGGAUGUGAAAUCCCCGGGCUCAACCUGGGAACUGCAUUCGAAACUGGCAGGCUAGAGUCUUGUAGAGGGGGGUAGAAUUCCAGGUGUAGCGGUGAAAUGCGUAGAGAUCUGGAGGAAUACCGGUGGCGAAGGCGGCCCCCUGGACAAAGACUGACGCUCAGGUGCGAAAGCGUGGGGAGCAAACAGGAUUAGAUACCCUGGUAGUCCACGCCGUAAACGAUGUCGACUUGGAGGUUGUGCCCUUGAGGCGUGGCUUCCGGAGCUAACGCGUUAAGUCGACCGCCUGGGGAGUACGGCCGCAAGGUUAAAACUCAAAUGAAUUGACGGGGGCCCGCACAAGCGGUGGAGCAUGUGGUUUAAUUCGAUGCAACGCGAAGAACCUUACCUACUCUUGACAUCCAGAGAACUUAGCAGAGAUGCUUUGGUGCCUUCGGGAACUCUGAGACAGGUGCUGCAUGGCUGUCGUCAGCUCGUGUUGUGAAAUGUUGGGUUAAGUCCCGCAACGAGCGCAACCCUUAUCCUUUGUUGCCAGCGGUCCGGCCGGGAACUCAAAGGAGACUGCCAGUGAUAAACUGGAGGAAGGUGGGGAUGACGUCAAGUCAUCAUGGCCCUUACGAGUAGGGCUACACACGUGCUACAAUGGCAUAUACAAAGAGAAGCGACCUCGCGAGAGCAAGCGGACCUCAUAAAGUAUGUCGUAGUCCGGAUUGGAGUCUGCAACUCGACUCCAUGAAGUCGGAAUCGCUAGUAAUCGUAGAUCAGAAUGCUACGGUGAAUACGUUCCCGGGCCUUGUACACACCGCCCGUCACACCAUGGGAGUGGGUUGCAAAAGAAGUAGGUAGCUUAACCUUCGGGAGGGCGCUUACCACUUUGUGAUUCAUGACUGGGGUGAAGUCGUAACAAGGUAACGC
rnacentral:rRNA from 1 species